rnacentral:misc_RNA from 1 species
GGAAACUUUGUUUUGGCAUGAUUGUGCAUUUUAUGUUUUUGGUUUGGAUUUUUAGUUCAUUCGUGGCAACUUUUUUUUUUUAAUUACUCUUUGAUUUUAUUUUUAUUAUGUUACAGAAUUCAAUUUUUUAAAAAGUUUUCAUUUUUAUUUACAUUUGUAUAUUGUCAGGGUUUGUGCUUAAAAUUUUUUUCUAUGGAUAUUUUGGUGGAUGUUAAAAGUGUUGGACUGUUUGAAUUAACGUUGAUUAUUGCCCUUCUACUCCGUUAAUGUAAAAUUUGCUCCAAAUUUGUUGAUGUAGGGUAGUUACUAUCACUUUUCCUUCCUACAGUAGCAUCUCUCUCUCUCUCUCU